rnacentral:rRNA from 1 species
UAACAAGGAUUCCCUCAGUAACGGCGAGUGAAGCGGGAAGAGCUCAAAUUUAAAAUCUGGUUUACUUGUAAGCCCGAGUUGUAGUCUGAAGAAACGUUUUCCAUAAGCACUGAGGCAAAAGUCCCUUGGAACAGGGCAUCAUAGAGGGUGAGAAUCCCGUCCAUGGUCUCAAGUUGUUUAUUUUGUGAUACGUUUUCAAAGAGUCAGGUUGUUUGGGAAUGCAGCCUAAAAUGGGUGGUAAAUUUCAUCUAAAGCUAAAUAUUGGCGAGAGACCGAUAGCGAACAAGUACCGUGAGGGAAAGAUGAAAAGAACUUUGAAAAGAGAGUUAAACAGUACGUGAAAUUGUUGAAAGGGAACCGUUUGAAGCCAGUCUUACUUGCCUGUGAUCAAUUUUUGCUUCGGCAUGAAUGCACUCUCGGGUAUGGUAGGCCAACGACAGUUUGGAAUGCGAGAAAAAAAUAGGGGAAAUGUGGCCUUCGGGUGUUAUAGUCCCUUAUAAAAUAUCGUGUCCUGGACUGAGGAUCGCAGUGAAAAUGUGGGCAGGUGGAUUUCUGUGGUGACUGUCGGUUAGGACAACUUGUUGACCUAGCCUUCCUUAGCCUCACUAUUUACCUUGCUUCUAAUUUGCUUAGGUCGUUGGCAUAAUGGCUUUAAAUGACCCGUCUUG